GGGUGAGUCACUAACAGUGGAGUGACUAAAGAAAAUAGUCAGCAAUGGCUGGCUAGGAGGAGGAGCUGCUACAGAGUGGAGAAGGCUGUGGCAUCAGCCAGAUCAGAAUUUGCUGUGUCACUCUUGAAUUGCAUUGCCCAGACACAGAGUUAAGAGUGUCUCAUGAUGAUAACAACAAGGGUGAAGGAGAAUUCCUCCAAGGGCCACAUAAAAUAAUCCAAUCCUGCAGUGCCCGUGCUAUGGGGUCCUGAAGAGAAGCAAAACACCACAAAAACUCACAGCCUGGCCUUGCAGACAGCCUCAGCUUCAGGUCCAGGUGGAGGACAAGGAAGGAAGAAGAAAACCAACAGAGGGAUGGAAGUGGGGUAAAAGGUUCAUGGGGAAACUCGAAGAUUUUAUUCUUAAAUCCAAUGUCUUUGCAGAUGGACAAAUGCAGAUUGGAAAACUAAUGUCAUGGCUUACAAGCACCUAG
rnacentral:lncRNA from 1 species